rnacentral:rRNA from 1 species
UACGUAGGGUGCGAGCGUUAAUCGGAAUUACUGGGCGUAAAGCGUGCGCAGGCGGUUCGUUAAGUCAGCUGUGAAAGCCCCGGGCUUAACCCGGGAAUGGCAUUGGAAACUGCUGAUCUGGAGGAUCGGAGGGGGGACUGGAAUUCUUGGUGUAGCAGUGAAAUGCGUAGAUAUCAAGAGGAACACCAGUGGCGAAGGCGAGUCCCUGGACGAUACCUGACACUGAGGCACGAAAGCCAAGGGAGCAAACGGG